AUUGAACGCUGGCGGCAUGCCUUACACAUGCAAGUCGAACGGCAGCACGGGAGCAAUCCUGGUGGCGAGUGGCGAACGGGUGAGAAAUAUAUCGGAACGUGCCCAGUCGUGGGGGAUAACGCAGCGAAAGCUGUGCUACUACCGCAUACGAUCUAAGGAUGAAAGCGGGGGAUCGCAAGACCUCGCGCGAUUGGAGCGGCCGAUAUCAGAUUAGCUAGUUGGUGGGGUAAAGGCCCACAAAGGCGACGAGCUGGAGCCGGUCUGAGAGGACGACCAGCCACACUGGAACUGAUACACGGUCAAGACUCCUACGGGAGGCAGCAGUGGGGAAUUUUGGACAAUGGGCGCAAGCCUGAUCCAGCAAUGCCGCGUGCAGGAUGAAGGCCUUCGGGUUGUAAACUGCUUUUGUACGGAACGAAACGGCCCUUUCUAAUACAGGGGGCUAAUGACGGUACCGUAAGAAUAAGCACCGGCUAACUACGUGCCAGCAGCCGCCGUAA
rnacentral:rRNA from 1 species